UGGGGAAUUUUCCGCAAUGGGCGAAAGCCUGACGGAGCAAGACCGCGUGGGGGAAGAAGGCUCUUGGGUUGUAAACCCCUUUUCUCUGGGAAGAACGAAAUGACGGUACCAGAGGAAUCAGCAUCGGCUAACUCCGUGCCAGCAGCCGCGGUAAGACGGAGGAUGCAAGCGUUAUCCGGAAUGAUUGGGCGUAAAGCGUCCGCAGGUGGCAGCUCAAGUCUGCUGUCAAAGACCGGGGCUUAACUUCGGAAAGGCAGUGGAAACUGAACAGCUAGAGUAUGGUAGGGGCAAAGGGAAUUCCCGGUGUAGCGGUGAAAUGCGUAGAGAUCGGGAAGAACAUCGGUGGCGAAAGCGCUUUGCUGGACCAUAACUGACACUCAGGGACGAAAGCUAGGGGAGCGAAUGGGAUUAGAUACCCCAGUAGUC
rnacentral:rRNA from 1 species